rnacentral:misc_RNA from 1 species
GUUAGAGAUAGAGGGCGAGAAACCCUAGUUAUCACUCUCUAUGCUCUACUCAAAACCCUUCGCUUCUCUCUCCCUUUCUUUCCUUUAGCUCUCUAUCAUCGCGAUCUAGUGUUUUCACGGUCUCUUGUUCUAGUUCGUUGUUAAGAAUGAUUGCUGCUGAAACUGUAAUAGCAAAGAAGUUAAAAAUAAAGUUUUCUACCCAAAGAACAGAAGCUGUUUCUGGGAUAAAGACAUGUGAAUCUGGGCGUAAUGCGGACAAGAAUUAUGGUUCCAGGGCCUGUGACACCCAGAGUACAAGGUUGAAGCCUGUGGUGCCUGGGGCUAAUAAGCGUGGCCCAUCAUGCAUGGUAGAGGGUCAACCAGAGAAGAAGCGGAAGAUGGAUCGCAGUGUCACCCAUCAGUGUUUUUCCCUUUUAAAAUCUCUUAUAAAUAAUCCAUCUGGCUGGGCUUUUAGGGAACCGGUGGAUCCAGUGGCACUGAAUAUUCCCGACUAUUUUUCAAUUAUAUCAAAUCCUAUGGAUUUAGGGACAAUAAAAUCAAAGCUGGAAAAGAAUCAGUAUUCUGGAGCUGAAGAGUUCGCAGCUGAUGUCAGACUGACUUUCUCAAAUGCUAUGCUAUAUAAUCCUCCGACAAAUUAUGUUCACCAAAUGGCAGAGUCAAUGAAUAAGAUUUUUGAGACAAAAUGGAAGUCCCUGGAGGGAAAAUGGAAAUGCCAAAGGUCUAAGUCUGGUGAUGGAAAAAUUUUGAGUGGGAAGCCAAAGGAAAUUAGUGGUACAAGGCAGAAUUGUCCUGAAACACCCCCUUUGCGCAACUCUGGUUUACCCAAGAAGUCAAAACUAUCUGAAAAUGAGACAAUGAGGAGUUCUUUAAAUGCAAGAGCUGCAGAAGUAAAGCUUUCUAAACCAAUGGAAAUACACAGGGCAUUACACCAAAAUUCUUACAAAGGCACUAGUAGCGGCAGAAAUGUUUGUUGCUCUAUCAGUGUUAAGCCAUCAUUGAGCCCAGUGGUUAAUGAAUGUAGUGCAAGUGGUCGGAGUGCUUCUCAAUGUUGCUUUCCAAGUGAUUCAACCCAUGCUUCCUCCGAUAUAUCUUCUGAGAGGUCAUCAGGCAGAGAUGAUAAUGCAUGUGGCACUGAUGUCGCGAAACUGGGUAUUAAGCGUGAAAGCAUGUCAACUUCACAAAUGAGCAAGUCAGAUCCGGAUUCUGAUGGGGCUGUAAGUGCUUUGGAUGAUGAAAAUGCAUGCCUGAGCUCUCAGCGUAUGACUUCUGCAACUGAUGUAACAUCUGGAGAAGGACUGGGACCUCCUAUUUAUGAUGUACAACUGUCUCCAACAAAGGCCCUUCGUGCUGCAAUAGUAAGGCACCGGUUUGCAGAGACUAUCUUAAAAGCACAGCAUAAGACACUACUAGAUCAUGGUGAUAAGGGUGAUCCAGUGAAGAUGCAGCAGGAGAAGGAAAGGUUGGAAAGGAGNUGAAGAGAAGGCUUGGAUUGAAGCUCAAAUCAGAGCCGCUGAAGCUGCCUCACGAAUGAGGGAAGAAAUUGAAUUGAAAAAACAAAGGGAGAAAGAAAGAGAAGCUGCUCGAAUUGCAUUGCAGAAGAUGGAAAAAACUGCUGAUAUUGAGCAGAACCUGGAGAUUCUGAAAGAACUCGAGAAGCUUAGUGGAGGUUCCCUUUCCUAUCAUUUUCGCAUUGGCAGUAAACGGGUGACAAACGGAGAGAUGGAAGCAGCUUAACUGGGAGCCCGCUGGAGCGAUUGGGUUUGUUCAUAAAGGAUGAUAUUUGGGAUGAGGAUGAGAUGGUAG